GCCAGCAGCCAUAUCACCUGCAACUCCUAACUGGCAACCCACUGAAGCUCAGCAGGUUUGAGCCUGGUUAGUACCUGGAUGAAAUUCCUCCUGGGAAAAACUAAGGUUGCUGCUGGAA
rnacentral:rRNA from 1 species